GGAGUUAGCCGGUGCUUCUUCUGUGAGUGAUGUCCUUCCUGCCGGCUAUUAACCCGCAGGCCUUCUUCCUCACUGAAAGUGCUUUACAACCCGAAGGCCUUCUUCACACACGCGGCAUGGCUGGAUCAGGGUUGCCCCCAUUGUCCAAUAUUCCCCACUGCUGCCUCCCGUAGGAGUCUGGGCCGUGUCUCAGUCCCAGUGUGGCUGAUCAUCCUCUCAGACCAGCUACGGAUCGUCGCCUUGGUGAGCCGUUACCUCACCAACCAGCUAAUCCGACAUAGGGCUCAUCCGAUAGCGCGAGGCCCGAAGGUCCCCCGCUUUCCCCCGUAGGGCGUAUGCGGUAUUAGCCUGGGUUUCCCCAGGUUAUCCCCCACUACCGGGCAGAUUCCUAUGCAUUACUCACCCGUCCGCCGCUCGCCACCAGGGAGCAAGCUCCCCGUGCUGCCGCUCGACUUGCAUGUGUUAGGCCUGCCGCCAGCGUUCAAUCUGAACCAGAUCAAAUUCUGA
rnacentral:rRNA from 1 species